rnacentral:rRNA from 1 species
GUGCACCAGGCGAGAAUCCUUCGCAAUGCGGGAAACCGCGACGAGGGGACUCCCAGUGCCUACGCUCAGCGUAGGCUGUUCCCGAGCCUAGAAAGCUCGGGGAGUAAGGGCUGGGUAAGACGGGUGCCAGCCGCCGCGGUAAUACCCGCAGCCCGAGUGGUGGCCACUAUUAUUGGGCCUAAAGCGUCCGUAGCCGGCCCGGUAAAUGCCUGGGUAAAUCGUGAGGCCUAACCUCACGAAUUCCGGGUAGACUGCCGGGCUAGGGGACCGGAGGAGGGAGAGGGGUACUCCAGGGGUAGGGGUGAAAUCCUGUAAUCCCUGGAGGACCACCGGUGGCGAAGGCGCUCUCCUAGGACGGGUCCGACGGUGAGGGACGAAAGCCAGGGGAGCGAACCGGAUUAGAUACCCCUGUAGU